rnacentral:rRNA from 1 species
GACAGAGGGUGCAAACGUUGUUCGGAAUUACUGGGCGUAAAGCGCGUGUAGGCGGCCAUGCAAGUCGGAUGUGAAAGCCCUCGGCUCAACCGGGGAAGUGCACUCGAAACUGCAAGGCUAGAGUCUCGGAGAGGAUCGUGGAAUUCUCGGUGUAGAGGUGAAAUUCGUAGAUAUCGAGAGGAACACCGGUGGCGAAGGCGGCGAUCUGGACGAUGACUGACGCUGAGACGCGAAAGCGU